rnacentral:rRNA from 1 species
GGCCAGCUGAUUUUGAAUGUUGAUGCAGCCUUUGCAGAGGAGAAUCACUCAGGGGCAUGUGGUGCUGUUACCCGGGAUCAUCUUGGUGCGUUUGUUGGUGCUUCCACUGCAAAAUUAGAGCACACGGCGGAUAUUGUUUCAGCGGAGGCAGCGGCUCUAGUAGAAGGACUAAAACUAGCAUCGAAUCUUGGUGUUACAUCACUCCUGGUGCAGAUGGACAACCUAAUUGUGGUGGAAUCCCUCAACAUGAAUUCAUGCCAGUCCAUGGUGGCCGGCCCCAUUCUUGAUGAAUGUCGUAGUCUUAAGGAGGAAUUCAGGAAGGUUUUAUUUGAGCAUUGUAAUAGAGAAACCAAUAUGGUAGCGCAUGUGUUAGCUCAGCGGGGACGUGUCGACCCACCUUCUGUGUGGUUGGACACACCUCCCAGCUUUAUCUCUGAAUUUUUAAUAGAUGAUGUAAGUGUUAUCUGA